AAAGGAAGGGAUAUUUUUCUGUGGGCCUCAACAGCAAAGGGACCGGCGGUGACUGGGUUUUCCGAUGAAGCCGCUACUGGGGACACUUUCUCGUUGGCAAGGGCGAAAUGGUCGCUUGCUGCCACAAGCUGAGGUUUGUCGGAAGUGUCUGUGGUACAAUGGAAGCAGAGAAACAUCUGCAACGGACUUUUAAUGCUACGUAUUUAUCAACAUCAUCCCAUUUCCCGAAGACUGUUCGGGCGCAUUUCUCGUAACUGCAGGCACUUGCUCAUCUUCGAAGGGCCAACCUUGUUAAAGGGCCGCACCAAACGAGACAUCCCGACUGCAUGCAGCAGAGUACUCCAUACUGGUACCGGGUCCAGAUGAGCAACAUUGGUCAAACUGGUAUUCAGAUGCAGGUGUUGCUCUUGCAGCUGUGACAUCACGAGGGAGAAAGUAGGCAAAGUACUCCCUUACUCUUUUCAUGGAAAACAUCACGAGUAUAAACAAAGUAAAGAGAGCUGUGUUGCUGAAGGAUGAGGCACCCAUUUCUCAAGGCAACUAACCUGCAACUGGGGAAGUGCUCGGAGCUGUAGCAAGUAGGAAUAUUUACUUGACCACUCCAAGCUCGGGGUACAUCCUAGGAAAAUUGAAAUUUCUAAACACUCUCAUAAUUCUAGAAAACUUGUACACGGGACAGGAAAGCUAAUGUUAGACAAACAUUGGCAGUGCAGAUUCGCUUGAGGGUCAGAAAGUGUCGGGGCAGGGUUGUAUUCUUUCGAAGGAAUUCUUUCACGGGAAAGGUAAAUUCUUUCAUUUGGUCAAAAGGAUCAAUGUCGCGGUUGUAAGCAAACAAAUCUUGAAUUUAUUCCAAAUGUCCUGGAGCUAAAACUUCAUUUCGGUCAUGUCAUGCGUGCUGCCUAUUAUUGUUCAGGCCACAGGGAAAUGUCGGGGCAGGGUUGUAUUCUUUCGAAGGAAUUCUUUCACGGGCAGGGUAAAUUCUUUCAUUUGGUCAAAAGGAUCAAUGUCGCGGUUGUAAGCAAACAAAUCUUGAAUUUAUUUCAAAUGUCCUGGAGCUAAAACUUCAUUUCGGUCAUGUCAUGCGUGCUGCCUAUUAUUGUUCAGGCCACAGGGAAAUGUCAGGGCAGGGUUGUAUUCUUUCGAAGGAAUUCUUUCACGGGCAGGGUAAAUUCUUUCAUUUGGACAAAAGUAUCAAUGUCGCGGUUGUAAGCAAACAAAUCUUGAAUUUAUUUCAAAGGUCCUGGAGCUAAAACUUCACUUCGGUCAUGUCAUGCGUGCUGCCUAUUAUUGUUCAGGCCACAGGGAAAUGUCGGGGCAGGGUUGUAUUCUUUCGAAGGAAUUCUUUCAAGGGCAGGGUAAAUUCUUUCAUUUGGUCAAAAGGAUCAAUGUCGCGGUUGUAAGCAAACAAAUCUUGAAUUUAUUUCAAAGGUCCUGGAGCUAAAACUUAAUUUCGGUCAUGUCAUGCGUGCCGCCCAUUAUUGUUCAGGCUACAGGGAAAUGUCGGGGUGCUCUUUAGACUUCUAUGAAAUAGGUCUCGCUGCAAUAACGCACAUUGUCGUGCUAGUUAUCAUAUGAUUGGGAAUCUGGCUGGUGUUCAUACACUCAUCACCAAGAGUCAACAGUGAACCUUGAUUGGGCAAGUUGGUUCAUCUUGACAUGUGGCAUAAACAGCACUGGAAAAAAGGAGGAAAGGAAUACAACAGAAGGGACACUAGUCCUGUGAUGUGUGUGUUACAUUUGUCCCAAUUUUCAGCACUGCUUUUAGUACACUGUCAACAGUGACUCGACAGUACUUAACAUUGCUGAAGUACAAGUGUGUGUGUGCACGCAAGAAUGAGCCCAGAUUGUCACAAUGGGUCGGAACAACACAAGCGGUGGGAUUGUGCAAUGUUAAUCCACAGAAAGAGCAGGUAUCUAAGUUUACUUCUUAAUAAGCUGCACAGCUGGGCUUUUUUUUUUUUUUCGCCGUAAAAUAUGCACACAAAAACUAUAACUCGCGACAACUUUUCUUGGCAGCACUGUGGUAGCUACAGAACUAUUUCCUGGCACGCGCAGGCAAUAGUACAUAUUUUUAUUUUCCAAUCUUCAGAGUUUCCUAGCUCAAAUAAAUAAAGCUUUCUUCAUUAUAAAAAUAAAACAAGUGUGGGAAGCCGUUGGUGAAAAGAUUAUUGUACACUUUAGGUUGUUGUUAUUUUUUUCAUUUCUUUGACACCACUACGUUUCCGCGCGCCUGUUCUCAUAGUAAACAUAGCAUCCCCAAUGCCGGCUGGACCAUGUGUGGCUGCGAACUCACAGUUUCAUUCUCCGAGAAAGAUAUACUUGAAAUGUGACAGAAAGUGGCUGUAAAAACAGACCAAGCAAGUUAUCUGCAACGUCUGUGCUGGGGCAAGGUGCCUAAAUUGUCGACGAACGCUGCGAGCAAGCAAAACCGAAACUGGAACUGAAAUCUGCUGUGAGCUGUCGAACUACUUGCGUAGUAACCCACAUAUGUGGAUGCCCCGCCUCCAUAGUCUUCGCUCCACUGCCAAGAUAAGUUGUCGCUGAGUAUAGCUUGUAUAACAUGUGGGAUGCCUUGGAUGUACAAGGAAGUUUCAUAGCUAUGAGCUAAUGCUCCAGUAUGCUUAGCAUUCAUUGCCACCCUUGCUGAAAAGCUGCAGCAGCUCUCUAAGACACCACAGCCAAUGAAAAAAACCUCACAGGGUCCUUUCCCACGAAACACGAAACCUCUAUAAAAUGUUUUAUAAAAUGUGUUAUAGAGCUUUAUAUAGAGGUUUUGCGUUUCAUGGGUUAUGCAUUUGACGUUAUCGUGUGAUGAUUUUUUGCAUCACUUGUGUUGACGCCGCUGACGGUCAAUUUUUGCAUUUGAUGAGACGUCUAAGGCUUUCGCCUUAAAAUAUUGUACUCUUGUAUGAAGCUACAGACCAAUGCAACAUGUACAAAUAUUUCUUUAUUAACCAAGAAGACCUUGUCGCUCAUAGCUCAGGGCCAUCACCACAAGCAUUUGAUGUAGCAGCAGGUCAGUCUUGCAAAAUGUG
rnacentral:lncRNA from 1 species